ACGCUCGACACCUACGGGAGGGAGCAGUCGGGAAUAUUGCGCAAUGGAGGGAACUCUGACGCAGUGACGCCGCGUAUAGGAAGAAGGUUUUCGGAUUGUAAACUAUUGUCGUUAGGGAAGAGAAAGGACAGUACCUAAGGAGGAAGCUCCGGCUAACUACGUGCUAGCAGCCGCGGUAAUCUGAGCGGGCUGGCAAGGC
rnacentral:rRNA from 1 species